GACGGGUGAUGGACGAGCUAUGAAAAUGGCUUGCAGACAACUCCCGAGAUCCGGCCAGGGUGGGACUCAGGCAGCUUAUUCACCCGCCCUCUUGGUCCCAUUCCUCCAAUCCCUGCCUGAAAGGACAAAAGGAGCGACUUGGUCCCGUGGCUUCAGUCACUAGGCUCACUGCUGCCUGACCGCCUUUCUCCACCAGCAGCCAGCGAUGCCCGAUGCCCCUCUGUCUCAAGGCCAUCUAAGCAAGUCCAGAUGGCAGAAACUGAAUCUCCAGGAAAGUGGGAGUAAGCAGCUGUGUCCUGGUCGAGAUCACAGAUCCAACAAUGUUUCUGUACUUCGCCUACUCAGUAAUUUAUGGAUGUGUUUUCAACCGAAUAGUCUUGUUUUUAUUUCAUUAGAAAAGCUGAGGAAGUUUAAAUAGUUAGGCCAACACAGAAGACCUAGAAUUCUAGAUCUGCCAGUUACUGGUUUUGUAACCUCAGGCAGAUGUCUUGGGUUUCCUCCCCCAGUUUUCUUCUCAUUCUUCCAUGGCCAUAUCUAUGCCUACUCCAUCAAUAUGCCCAGCACAUACCAUGCCCACCAAGAGAUCUUGAACUUCUUAAGACUAAACUUAUAUACACGUGGUUCAAGCUCAGAGCUUGGUCACAGCAGAUAUUUUAAAAAUAUUAAAUGUUAAUAUCUCCUAGGCUAUGAAAUCGGGACAAUUGUGCCAAGUAGUAAAUAUCAAAUAAAUCACAUGAUUUGUAAACUAUAAAACAUAGUAACUAAUACAUAUGUUUAAAAGUUGUGUCACUGGUCUUUCAAGAGAUACAAAUUCAAACAACACUGAGAUUCCAUCUCACUCUAGAAGUAAAUCAAUAACAAAUGCUGGCAGGGAAAAGGAGUCCUUCUCCAUAUUGGUGGGAUUAUAGACUGCUGCAACCACUGUGGAAAUCA
rnacentral:lncRNA from 1 species